rnacentral:lncRNA from 1 species
CUUUUUAAUAUACAUUACCUAACUCGUCCUUGAUUCCAAUGCUUUCUUUAGAAACAUUUUUUUCCAAGAAGGAAGUAAUUAUUGCUCCAAUUCUUCUCCUUUGGGUGCAGUUCCCUAAUGAAACAGGACCACAAUUCAGGGUGUGUUUUAAACAUCGGAUAUGAUUGCUAAUCUGGCCAAGACUACAUAUCAUCUAGGCGAUGUUUUACAAUAAUUUUUAAACUGCUUCCGACUUGUGAGUGCGAAGAAGAGGGGAGUUAACCGUUCUCACAGAGGCCUCCAUUGGAAGCUGGUAGUAGCGAAGUCCAACUCACUUUGAGAAGGUGCAGGAAGAAGCUAGCAAUGGCCAAGGAGACUGCAUGAGUGUCUCUCGUUCUUCUUCAGGCUGAAACAAAGGAGGAGGAGACACGAAUACUCAACUCUGGAGAUGCCAGCUAGGUUUCUUAAGCUUUGAAGUCUUUUACUUCACUGACCCAGGGACCAAUGUGUAACUGGAACUGAAAAGUCCCCAACAUUCUGCAGCAGGAAAGUAGUGAAGUUGACUCCGGCUCACUCCGUUCUGCAUCAGGCCAUACUCUCUUUAUAUGUCGAGUUGAUGUAAUGUUGUUGGAUGCAGUGCCAGCCCCUGAGAAGACUAUAGUCGUCGGGGUGGGGUGGGGCUGCUAAGUACACACAUUUAUUAAAUGCUACACACUUACUAGU